rnacentral:tRNA from 1 species
GUCCCUGGUGCAAUUGGUUAAUGCAUUUGGUUGUUAACCAAAAGGUUGGUGGUUUAAGCCCACCCAGGGACA